CGAGUACUAAGGGAAAUGGGAGGUGCUCCUCUCUCCAGGAAUGGACUUCUUACAAUGUAUGUACAAAGAAGGUGUAAGAUGAACUCUGAACUGGAAACAUUUUGCACCUAUCCUGCAGAGAAGGACCCCCUGAUAUCCCGAAAAGGAUGGGGACUAAAGCCUAAGCUCUCAAGAUGGCCGAGUCAUGAGAAGAAAUGGACCACUAUGAGAUUGAAGUAGCUGUUGUCAGCGAGCACCAGAAAGAAGAGAGCCUGCUAUGCAACACCAAGGUGCAAGGGGGUGCUCUAGCCAUGAGUCCACUUUUUUAUACAUGAUUUAACACUGUCUUAACAUCUCACCCAUUACAAAGAUAGCUUCCCCAAUUAUCACCCCAAUGUCAUUACCUCACAGAAAC